UGAGGCGCGCCGAGUUUGAUCCUGGCUCAGAUUGAACGCUGGCGGCAGGCUUAACACAUGCAAGUCGAACGGUAACAGAGAAUAGCUUGCUAUUUUGCUGACGAGUGGCGGACGGGUGAGUAAUGCUUGGGAAUUUACCUUGUUGUGGGGGACAACAGUUGGAAACGACUGCUAAUACCGCAUAAUGUCUUUUGACCAAAGGUGGCCUCUAUUUAUAAGCUAUCGCGACAAGAUGAGCCCAAGUGGGAUUAGCUAGUUGGUAGGGUAAAGGCUCACCAAGGCGACGAUCUGUAGCGGGUCUGAGAGGAUGAUCCGCCACACUGGGACUGAGACACGGCCCAGACUCCUACGGGAGGCAGCAGUGGGGAAUUUUGGACAAUGGGCGCAAGCCUGAUCCAGCCAUGCCGCGUGAGUGAAGAAGGCCUUAGGGUUGUAAAGCACUUUCAGCGAGGAGGAAAGGGUGCAGGUUAAUACCCUGUAUCUGUGACGUUACUCGCAGAAGAAGCACCGGCUAACUCCGUGCCAGCAGCCGCGGUAAUACGGAGGGUGCGAGCGUUAAUCGGAAUUACU
rnacentral:rRNA from 1 species